GUUUCUGAAUCCCAUCGCCGACAACAAGAAGCAGCAGCAGCCAUCUCAAUAAUUCAUCCUCAUCAAAUCGUUCAAAGAUGGUUUGCGUCAUGUGCCUGAUUCCUCUUUUCCUCGUCCCAAUCGUCAACCUCCUGCCUCUUCUCUUCGAUUUCCUCAUGAGAAAAUUUUAUGGAGUUAUGGGAUGGGAGUACAGGAAGCCGGAAAGAGCUCCUCCGGCUUGUCCUUACAAGCCUGCCGCCAAAAACGAUACCAAAGUGACAGACAAAACUGAACCUGGGCCACCAGACUCUGUUCCAGAAUCAGCGGCAGCUCCCCGAGCGGUAGAAUUGAAGCAAGAUUGAACUUUUACUCUUUCCUCAGUUUCAGGCAUGAAUUAGGGGGGGGGGGUGGGUGGGUGGGGAAUCUUCCUUGGUCAGAUCAAGCAAAAUGGUGUAACAUAUGUAGUUCAUUUAAAAACCUCUUUUAACCGGAUUAUCUGAACCCUGGCUUGUAUGAGAUGAAAUUCAUAAUGUGGUUCUUUAGCCAACACACUGCU